rnacentral:rRNA from 1 species
CUGUACUAAGGUAGCAUAAUAAUUUGCCUUAUAAUUUGAGGCUAGAAUGAAUGGUUUGACGAAGGUUAGUCUGUCUCUAUCUUAUUUUUUAGAAUUUAAUUUUUAUAGUGAAAAAGCUUGGAUUUUUUAAAGGGACGAGAAGACCCUAAUGAGCUUAUAAUUGUAUUAUUAUUAUAAUUAGAUGUUUAUAAUAGUUUAUAAAUUUUAAUUGGGGUGAUUAAGGAAUAUAUGUACACAACUUCCUUAAAUAUAAUAUUGUUGGAUGGAGUAACCAAUAGAUUAUUGCUUAUAAUAAAGUUACCAUAGGGAUCACAGCGUAAUUUAUUUUGAGAGUUNUUAUUGGA